UAAAAGAUGGAGUCGCAGCGCAUGUUUCUCUCUUUUGCUCAGGACAUACUAAGAUGUGGGCAUUAUUAUUAAGAUCUGCUGCUUUAUCAUCAAGAUGGUGGUCACAGAGUUCUGAAGUCACAGGGACCAGAAUGCUUAAAGGAAGAAUCCAGAGGUAACGGUCAUCCCUGUUGUAGGAUGGCUAUGGAUCAGACAACAGGUAAAACAGCUUUUUUUUUUUAUCAUUUCUAUUUGUUUUAAGCAAAUGCUUAAUGAUGAUUUCACAAAUCAAUGGGAAUCUCUCUGAAAAAAGAGUGAUGCGUCUAUUGUG